GGGGGCGAGGACGAGGAGGAUCUUACCCCCUAAAACUUUCCCCUGAACCGUUCCACCCAAUAGUGGGGGGUCUUACUUGGCGCCGGCUGCUGGCUUUAUUGCUGGCGGCUAACUGCUGGGCGAGCCCUAUCAAAAGGCGAGCGUUUGGACUUCGGUCUGAGCUAGUAGCUUUUUAAUUUUAAACCCUUUACUUAAUACUGAUUAUACUGUGGGGACGAAAGUCUCUGCUUUUAACUAGAUAGCAACUUUCAGCAGUGGAUGUCUAGGCUCGCACAUCGAUGAAGAACGCUGCGAACUGCGAUACGUAAUGCGAAUUGCAGGAUUCAGUGAGUCAUCGAAAUUUUGAACGCAUAUUGCACUUCCGGGUUAGUCCUGGAAGUAUGCCUGUAUCAGUGUCCGUACAACAAACUUGGCUUUCUUCCUUCCGUGUAGUCGGUGGAGGAGAUGCCAGAUGUGAAGUGUCUUGCGGUUGGUUUUCGGACCGACUGCGAGUCCUUUUAAAUGUACUAAACUGUACUUCUCUUUGCUCCAAAAGUGGUGGCAUUGCUGGUUGUGGACGCUGCUAUUGUAGCGAGUUGGCGACCGGUUUGUCUGCUGCGGCGUUAAUGGAGAAAUGCUCGAUUCGUGGUAUGGUUGGCUUCGGCUGAACAAUGCGCUUAUUGGGUGAUUUUCCUGCUGUGGCGUGAUGGACUGGUGAACCAUGGCUCUUUAGCUUGGCAUUUGAAUCGGCUUUGCUGUUGCGAAGUAGAGUGGCGGCUUCGGCUGCCGAGGGUCGAUCCAUUUGGGAAAUGUUGUGUACUUCGGUAUGCAUCUCAAUUGGACCUGAUAUCAGGCAAGAUUACCCGCU
rnacentral:rRNA from 1 species